UGGGGAAUUUUGCACAAUGGGGGCAACCCUGAUGCAGCGACGCCGCGUGAUUUAGAAGGCCUUCGGGUUGUAAAAAUCUUUUGUAUAGGAAGAAAAUGACAGUACUAUACGAAUAAGGUCCGGCUAAUUACGUGCCAGCAGCCGCGGUAAUACGUAAGGACCGAGCGUUGUCCGGAAUCAUUGGGCGUAAAGGGUACGUAGGCGGUUAAAAAAGUUAGAAGUGAAAGGCUAUAGCUCAACUAUAGUAAGCUUUUAAAACUGUUUAACUUGAGAGAUGGAAGGGAAAGUGGAAUUCCGAGUGUAGCGGUGAAAUGCGCAGAUAUUAGGAGGAAUACCGGUGGCGAAGGCGACUUUCUGGCCAUUAUCUGACGCUGAGGUACGAAAGCGAGGGUAGCAAACAGG
rnacentral:rRNA from 1 species